rnacentral:rRNA from 1 species
GACGAAGGAUGCAAGCGUUAUCCGGAUUCAUUGGGUUUAAAGGGUGCGUAGGCGGAUUGGUAAGUCAGUGGUGAAAUCUCGCAGCUUAACUGCGAAACUGCCAUUGAUACUGCUAAUCUAGAGUACAGUUGCCGUUGGCGGAAUAUGACAUGUAGUGGUGAAAUACAUAGAUAUGUCAUAGAACACCGAUUGCGAAGGCAGCUAACGAAGCUGUAACUGACGCUGAGGCACGAAAGUGCGGGGAUCAAACAGG